rnacentral:rRNA from 1 species
UUGAUCUCCCCGUGCAGAAGCGGGGAUUUUCUCAUAAGACGAGAAGACCCUAUGGAGCUUUAGACACAAAGCAACCCAAAUUACGACCUUGAAACUAAAUCAAGGCAAUAAAAUGACCCCCGCUCAACUGUCUUUGGUUGGGGCGACCCUGGGGAAAAACAAAACCCCCACGUGGAACAGAAGAACCCCUUCUACAACCAAGAGCCCCUGCUCUAAGUAACAGAACCUCUGACCAUUAAUGAUCCGGUAUAACCGAUCAACGAACCGAGUUACCCUAGGGAUAACAGCGCAAUCCCCUCCCAGAGCCCAUAUCGACGAGGGGGUUUACGACCUCGAUGUUGGAUCAGGAUAUCCUACUGGUGUAGCCGCUAUUAAGGGUUCGUUUGUUCAACGAUUAAAAUCCUACGUGAUCU